UUGGUUGGUCAGCCAGAGAGACAAAGGGCAGGGAGAUCUGGAGCCUUCAAUAAAUCCUGCAGUGAGAGAGACGAAGCAGCACAUGCCAGGGAUGGAAACUUGGAUUUUCCAGAUGUCUGUGGUGGUACUCAGUGCCAUUUUUAAUCCUCACUGCAUCAGUCUAAUUUCCCAUUUUGUCCAUUCCUCUAUCUCCUCGAGGUACUCAAUUAACUUCCCAGCUGCUGGGUGUCUCGUCCAUCACCACAUUGAAGAUGGUUGGUCAGCCAGAGAGACAAAGGGCAGGGAGAUCUAGAGCCUUCAAUAAAUCCUGCAGUGAGAUGGCAAUGGUAAUGACUGCGGAUGGUGCUAACUGAGGAAAUGUCAAUGUAUUCAUACCUGCUGCUGAGUGUCGGUGGUGGAGUGAGGGAGUCGUUGUGGAUGUGGACUUUUUGAUAGUGGAAUCACUGACAUCUGUCCAUUACUUGCUGCUGGUGCUGUCAGAAUACAAGUCGUCCCGCUUUGCAGCAGAAAGCAGUAAGAGUUUUGCCAGGUUGUCCCUCAUCUCGUGGUCUGGCUGGUGAUGCUCCCAGCAUGUUCUUCUGCAUUCAACACUAACCGAGUUACUGUAGAGUGGGAGAUAUAUUGGGCCGUGAUGGUUACUGGAGAGUGGGAGGUAGGUUGGGCUGUGAUGGUUACUGUACAGUGGGAGGUAUGUGGGCCCGUGAUAGUUACUGUACUGAGGGUAGUAUGUCAGGCCGUUAUGGUUUCUGUACAGUUGGAGGUAUGUGGGGCCAUGAUGACUACUGGUCAUUGGGAGGUAUAUGGGGCCGUGAUAGUUACUGUACAGCGGGAGGUAUGUCGGGCUGUGAUGGUUACUGUACAGUGGGAGGUAAGUCGGGCCGUGAUGUUUACUGUACAGUGGGAGGUAUGUCGGGCCGUUUCGAUUCCUGUACAGUGGGAGGUAUGUGAGGUCGUGAUGGUUACUGUGCAGUGGGACAUAUAUCGGGCAUUGCUGGUUACUGUAUAGUGGGAGGCAUCUCGAUCCAGGAAGUUGCAGACUCUGAGUUGUACAGAAUAUGAUUGCGUUGCUGCCGAUGAGCCAUUGUACCUCAUGGAUGCAUCGUCAUUGAUUGCUUAAUCUGUUUAAAUCUGUACCAUUCAGUAUGUCAUGGUGAGGAGGGUCUACAAAAUGUGAAGUUAGCCCUUGCUUCCCAUAAGGACUGUGCAGUGAACAUUGUUACCGAUAUAUGAAAUGGAGGGGUGUAUCUGCAGCAGGCAGAUCAGUGAUGAUAUGGUCAAUUAUAGGUUUCCCUUUUAUUGGUUCCCCAUAACCUGCCACAGAGGAGUCUAGCAGCCAUAGGAUCCUGCAUCAAUGCUGAGCACUAUCAUUACAUUAGAUUCCAUACAGUGUGGGAACAGACCCUUCGGCCUAACCAGUUCACACCAACCCUCUGAAGAGCACCCACUACCAUGGCCAAUUCACCUGAACUGCAUUUCUUUAGACUGUGGGAGGAAAACCACGCAGACACAGGGAGAAUGUGUAAAUUCCACACAGGCAGUUGCCCGAGGUUGAAAUCAAAUCUGGGUCCCUGAUGCGUUGAGGCAGCAGUGCUAACCACUGAGCCAUCAUGCGGCCCUAUACUGACUAUAUACCAAGGAGCUGCCCUCUUCUGCCUGGUCGUGCCCUUUCGGGGGACAGAACCUCCCAGAGAUGAUGGUGAUGUUACCUAGGACAUAGUCCUGAUCGCAUAAUCUUGCUUUCCAGACAAUAUCUGAUUGUUGCUUGAUUAGUCUGUGGGAAAUAUACAACAGGUCACUUUUACACUUUGUAUAAUGAAGAGUUAAUAUCACUUUAUUUCUUACAUAUUUUAAA